rnacentral:rRNA from 1 species
UGAACGCUGGCGGCAUGCCUUACACAUGCAAGUCGAACGGCAGCACGGGGGCAACCCUGGUGGCGAGUGGCGAACGGGUGAGUAAUACAUCGGAACGUGUCCUGUAGUGGGGGAUAGCCCGGCGAAAGCCGGAUUAAUACCGCAUACGAUCUACGGAAGAAAGCGGGGGAUCGGCAAGACCUCGCGCUAUAGGGGGCGGGCCGAAGGGCAGAAUUGGCUAGUUGGUGGGGUGGGUGCAGAGCCUACCAAGGCGACGAUCUGUAGCUGGUCUGAGAGGACGACCAGCCACACUGGGACUGAGACACGGCCCAGACUCCUACGGGAGGCAGCAGUGGGGAAUUUUGGACAAUGGGGGAAACCCUGAUCCAGCAAUGCCGCGUGUGUGAAGAAGGCUUCGGGUUGUAAAGCACUUUUGUCCGGAAAGAAAACUUCUGCCCUAAUACGGUGGGAGGAUGACGGUACCGGAAGAAUAGCACCG